AGAUUGAACGCUGGCGGCAGGCCUAACACAUGCAAGUCGAGCGGUAGAGAGGUGCUUGCACCUCUUGAGAGCGGCGGACGGGUGAGUAAUGCCUAGGAAUCUGCCUAGUGGUGGGGGAUAACGUUCGGAAACGGACGCUAAUACCGCAUACGUCCUACGGGAGAAAGCGGGGGACCUUCGGGCCUCGCGCCAUUAGAUGACGCCUAGGUCGGAUUAGCUAGUUGGUGAGGUAAUGGCUCACCAAGGCGACGAUCCGUAACUGGUCUGAGAGGAUGAUCAGUCACACUGGAACUGAGACACCGGU
rnacentral:rRNA from 1 species